rnacentral:rRNA from 1 species
UACGUAGGGUGCAAGCGUUAAUCGGAAUUACUGGGCGUAAAGCGUGCGCAGGCGGUUAUGCAAGUCAGAGGGGAAAUCCCCGGGCUCAACCUGGGAACUGCCUUUGUGACUGCAUAGCUAGAGUACGGUAGAGGGGGAUGGAAUUCCGCGUGUAGCAGUGAAAUGCGUAGAUAUGCGGAGGAACACCGAUGGCGAAGGCAAUCCCCUGGGCCUGCACUGACGCUCAUGCACGAAAGCGUGGGGAGCAAACAGG